rnacentral:rRNA from 1 species
GACGAACGCUGGCGGCGUGCUUAACACAUGCAAGUCGAACGGUAAGGCCCUUCGGGGUACACGAGUGGCGAACGGGUGAGUAACACGUGGGUGAUCUGCCCUGCACUUCGGGAUAAGCCUGGGAAACUGGGUCUAAUACCGGAUAGGACUCCGGACUGCAUGGUCUGGGGUGGAAAGCUUUUGCGGUGUGGGAUGGGCCCGCGGCCUAGCUGCUUGUUGGUGGGGUGAUGGCCUACCGAGGCGACGACGGGUAGCCGGCCUGAGAGGGUGACCGGCCACACUGGGACUGAGAUACGGCCCAGACUCCUACGGGAGGCAGCAGUGGGGAAUAUUGCACAAUGGGCGCAAGCCUGAUGCAGCGACGCCGCGUGAGGGAUGACGGCCUUCGGGUUGUAAACCUCUUUCAGCAUCGACGAAGCGAAAGUGACGGUAGGUGCAGAAGAAGGACCGGCCAACUACGUGCCAGCCGCCGCGGUAA